GCCUUCCCUGGCUGUAAAGUACACACCUGCGUCAUCCCGGGGGCCUGCCCUCCCUGUGCCUGGUGCCCCCAGGAAAAGUCAUUUGGAGAGUCCAGAGAGACUACCGGGGGAGGCAGUGAGUUACUCAGGAAGCUCAGAGGCAGCUUUCUGGCCAGCUGCGGGGGACAUACGGCUCACGACCCCCCAACCUGCGCCUCCGACGGCCCCGGGCCCCCGGAAGUGGGCCUGAAACCCGCGGCGCCGAGAGCCCUGCUCGCGGCCGCACGUGGCGGGGCCGCCGGGUCCCCUCCAGAGCGGCGGCGGGUGGUUAGCGCUGGCCCGGCGGAUGCGAGGACUCGAGCCUCCGGACACCGCGCCGCCGCGCUCGGAGGCAGGGGUGGCUUGGGGAGUACGAAGGCAGCCCUUUUCCCACUCCUUUGUGGUCUUUGCGGGGGUCAGAGUGUGUGUAGUCUUCCCAGGCAGAAGAUCCACAGUUUUCAUCAAAUUCACAAAGAGACUGGUAACAACCCAGAAUUAAAAGCCAUUGUCUUUUUGAUACUUAUGUUGGGUGAACUUGGAGAUAGAAACGUUGCAGUUCUUGGUAACAACUGGAAAAGAGCCAGGCGUAGGGCCUGGUAAAUCUACCCUGUACUUUUUGAGACUUUGAUUUCAUUUAAAUAAAUUAAUCCCCAAAGAGACUUUUAUUUCUAAAUUUUACCCAGUGAGACUUAAUUUGAAUUAUUUUUAAAGAGGCUGUUUAUGUAUGACAAAUUUAAAACUAAUAAAAGAACUAAACAACAAUUAUUUUGAACAGAAUCUACACGUGAAAUGCCAUGUAGAAAAUUUAAACAAGUAUUUUAAUGAUUCAGACUAAAAACCCUUUUCAGCCAAAAUAACAACAAAAGCAAUUACCUGGCCCUAAUUAAAAGCUUAAGAAAAUUUAUUGGCUGGGCAUGGUGGCUCACACCUGUAAUCCCAGCACUUUGGGUGACUGAGGUGGGCGGAUCAUGAGGUCAGGAGAUUGAGACCCUCCUGGCCAAUGUAGUGAAACCCUGUCUCUACUAAAAAUAUGAAAGAUUAGCUGGGCGUGGUGGCACGCACCUGUAGUCCCAGCUACUCAGGAGGCUGAGGCAGGAUAAUUGCUUGAACCCAGGAGGCAGAGGUUGCCGUGAGCGAGACUCUGUCUCAAAAAUGAAAAAAGAAAAUUUAUUUGAUUUGUUCUCUCUCUCUCUCUCUUUCUCUGUACAUACAUAAAUUUACCAACUAUGCCUAAGUGCCCAAAUGUUUCUUUUAAAAAGUUUUCAUUUUCUUUAAAGCUUGAUGACUCUCAAAAGUGGAUGAAGGCCCAGCAUGGUGGCUCAUGCCUGUAAUCCCAGCACUUUGGGAGGUCAAGGCAGGCAGCGUUUGAGUCCAGGAGUUUGAGACCAGCCUGGUCAACAUGGGGAAAUCCCAUCUCUACUAAAAAUACAAAAAUUAGCUGGGUGUGGUGGUACAUGCCUGUAAUCCCAGCUACUCAGGAGGCUGAGGCAGGAGAAUCUCUUGAACUCAGGAAGUGAAGGUUGCAGUGAGCCAAGAUCACACCACUGCACUCCAGCCUGGGUGACAGAACAAGACUCCAUUUCAAAAAAAAAAAAAAAAAAAAAAAAAAAAGCUGGAUGAAACAAUAGGUAAAAGAGGUGAGAGCUCUGAGUCAGAAGGAGGGCAUGGCUGUACCAUCCAGGUGAGGAAAUCAAGCUCAAAUGGUAAAAUCACCUGUAAGAGAGCCAGGGUAGAAUUUAAAUUAAAUAUUCAGAAGCCUGCUGUUCAGAAUACACAGAUAUUGCCCAUUUCCCCCACCUAUCACUCCCUGGCUUCCACCCUUGUCUGGGAGGAUAUCUUCCGUUAGUGCAAGAGGUAGCAUAAUCUAUGCGUUUAUUUAGCAUUUGAUCCUUGUGCAGAGGCUUCCAUUUAGAUUAACCAUUUUAGCUAAGAUUUGG
ensembl:lncRNA